rnacentral:rRNA from 1 species
CCUACGGGUGGCAGCAGUGAGGAAUAUUGGUCAAUGGGCGCGAGCCUGAACCAGCCAAGUAGCGUGAAGGAUGACUGCCCUACGGGUUGUAAACUUCUUUUAUAAAGGAAUAAAGUGAGGCACGUGUGCCUUUUUGUAUGUACUUUAUGAAUAAGGAUCGGCUAACUCCGUGCCAGCAGCCGGGGUAAUACGGAGGAUCCGAGCGUUAUCCGGAAUUGGUGGGUUUAAAGGGUGCGUAGACGGGUUGUUAAGUCAGUUGUGAAAGUUUGCGGCUAAACCGUAAAAUUGCAAUUGAAACUGGCAGUCUAGAGUACAGGUGAGGUAGGCGGAAUUCGUGGUGUAGCGGUGAAAUGCUUAGAUAUCACGAAGAACUCCGAUUGCGAAGGCAGCUUACUAAACUGCCACUGACAUUGAUGCUCGAAAGUGUGGGUAUCAAACAGGAUUAGAUACCCCUGUAGUC